GGCGGCGGAACUACGGGACAUCGAAAGGACAAAACGUCGCACUGAAACUGGCAGGUGAAACCGAUGGAAAGUAAUAAUUAGCAGCAAACGGGAAGACGCCUCGUCGUCGUCAAGUUGAAAACUUCUCCUAAGAGCGGACAAACAGCCGGUGGAACAGCUGCCUCCAAAGAAAGGCGACGUGCUGCCAACACUGCUCUGAUUGAGAUGACCCAUUAAGAAAAUGACAUGAACAACAUGACAAUGAUGUCGCUCGGGGGGAACCUGAACUGACCUUUCCCUAGUAACCGUCUUGCACUCUGCGCACUCAAACUCCCAGCGAAAGGUGGUCCGAAAGAG